CAUGCUGAGUUGAAAUGCAAGGGGUCACCUAAAGACCGCAGAGGAACCAGAAUCAAUAUGAAAAUAUGAAGUUGCAAGAGCAACAUUCUGUAGGUAGCAGCAGCCUUUCCCGGGUCGUGACUCAAGAGUCGGUUUCUGGCACAGCCUACCACUUUCAUACCAUGCUGAACAAGAGACUUUGCAAUUUCAGCUCCGAUUCCCACUGAAGCACCAGUGACAGGAGCAACUCUGCCUUUCCAAUGAUGCAUACGUUACUCUCACAAAGU